CUCCAAAUUGGAAAGGUACUGCUUCACUUUUCGAGCCAUUUGGGCAUCUUCAUAAAGCUUUUUGGCAUUGAGAAAGGAACUACGACGUACCCGCUUUUUAUGACCACCUGUCUGAGCAACAUCUAGCACUGUUGCAUUUGUACUACCCUGGCUGAGAGACCUGGUAAAAAUCGAGUCAUUGCAGGAUCUCCUUCAAAGUCAUUGAAGUGAUUAUUUACCCACAAUAAUACUACCCGUGUAACCUGAGAAUACGGCAGUAAUCUUGCUGGGCUAUGCAGACAAACUGGAGUAGAUAUCAGAAAGACUGCUGCUCCCAGAAUCACUAGUGAUACUACAUCCUGAAUGGCUAGAAGAAACGUGGGUCACCUGUGGGUGGAGACUGUCAGUAAGAUGCAGUUUUGUGAAAUCUGCAGGAAGCU
rnacentral:lncRNA from 1 species